UUGUAAUUGGAAUGAGUACAAUUUAAACCUCUUAACGAGGAACAAUUGGAGGGCAAGUCUGGUGCCAGCAGCCGCGGUAAUUCCAGCUCCAAUAGCGUAUAUUAAAGUUGUUGCAGUUAAAAAGCUCGUAGUUGAAACUUGGGUCUGGCUGGCAGGUCCGCCUCACCGCGUGUACUUGUCCGGCCGGGCCUUCCUUCUGGAGAACCUCAUGCCCUUCACUGGGCGUGUUGGGGACCAGGACUUUUACUUUGAAAAAAUUAGAGUGUUCAAAGCAGGCCUUUGCUCGAAUACGUUAGCAUGGAAUAAUAGAAUAGGACGUGCGGUCCUAUUUUGUUGGUUUCUAGGACCGCCGUAAUGAUUAAUAGGGACAGUCGGGGGCAUCAGUAUUCAAUUGUCAGAGGUGAAAUUCUUGGAUUUAUUGAAGACUAACUACUGCGAAAGCAUUUGCCAAGGAUGUUUUCAUUAAUCAGUGAACGAAAGUUAGGGGAUCGAAGACGAUCAGAUACCGUCGUAGUCUUAACCGUAAACUAUGCCGACUAGGGAUCGGGCGAUGUUCUUUUUCUGACUCGCUCGGCACCUUACGAGAAAUCAAAG
rnacentral:rRNA from 1 species